AGCCGGGACCGAGUGAUCCGGCCGACGACCGCGGUAAAGAUAUCGCGCCGUAGACAGAGACCACCCAAGUUGGGUUUCAUAUUUUGUAGUUGCAUACCCAUAUAUCAUCUUUUGUAUUUGAUGAUUAGAGAAGUUAAAGAAAUAAAUGUAAGUAUUCUAUUUUGAGGAAAUGUGAUGUGAAAAGAAAUGAUGAAAAGCAUGUAUUAUGAUAAAAGAAUUGUAAAUGUGAAAGUUGUAUGCUUGUAAUUGGUUAAAAGUUAAUCAUUCUACUUGUAUGGUUGUAUAGUUUAGUAUUCUUUUACUUUGGCUAUUGCUUACCCUCGUGUAAGCCAUUAUGUAUGUUUCCGCUUGUGUAUUCACUUUGUUUGAAUUGUACAUGUGUUGAGCCUUGGGCGGACAGGGGAGACUCUGUCCGUUCGGCGUCUGUUCGACGUGCCCGGACCGGCCAAAGGGAUCGGUCCUGGGGCGUGACAGCGAUAAUGACCGAUUUCGCUGACAAAAGUGUCGAAAAGCCUCAUUUCAGCUCCGAUUGAUUUCUGGAUUUAGCACGAUCCGGUCCGGGGGUCCAACAUACAUAAUUAACGCUGCCCAAGGUAGCGAGCAACUCGAAUUACCGAAAAAGCCCAUAAUUUUCAUCUAUUUUAUAGUAUUCAAUAAGAAAGUAGAGUUUUGACUCGUUGUCUAGACUUGCAUGGUCGGAAAGCUGAACCGUUACAUACACUAGUAGGCAGCGAUGCUCUGAACAUGUCACGCCCCGCGACCGCUACCAAUUUGGUCCGGCCCAGGCGCGUCGAACAGACGCCGAACGGACAGGACCUCCCCUGUCCGUCCAAGGCUAACCAACAGAUCGUGCAUAAGAAUUUACCCAAGAAUCAAUUCAUAAAUACACGAUCACUAAGCACCACUAGUGCUAUAAACAAGAGCAAGAUACAAGUAUAGAAACAUAUACAAGUACAUCAAGAGAGAAAAGACUAUCUAUUACAUUCAUUUGAUUUACUGCAUUUAGAUACAUCUUUUACAUUCUUCCAAAAUAUAAAUACAAGCAAUCAACCCUCACCCUAUACAACAUCUACUCUCAAAUACAAAAGGGGUGACGGCUAAUGCAAGAAAAGGAGGUAGCUAAUGCGACUAGAACGCCGGGCCCUUACCGCGAUCCUCACGCUCACCGGGGACACCCGAACUGGAACCUGUGGUAAAAUGGGGGUGAGAACUAACUUCCUUAGUUCCCAGUGGGUUCGGCCGCCGACUCCGCCGAUCUCCCCACUAGGUCCAAGCGGGCAUAAGUAGACAAUCGAUAGAUAGGUAGAUAGAUAAGGAAAGCUGUAAAUGGCGGAAAUGAAGCUACGCUACCAUGCCCAAUCAUAAGUAUAUGAAUGCAUGUCCAAUGAAAUAGGUAAGCAACUAAUCUGUUAUCAUGUCCAAGGGUGAAGCUAUUCACUCGUUCAUUAACCUCAUUUACUUGUUCAUUAAUCUCAUGGCUUACCCGAAGGCUCGCCUACAGCUCACUAGCCAUCUCGACACGUAGGGAGAAUCAACUCACACUACGGACCCGAGACCGUCUGGCGGGGCCAUAUAGGCAAUCCCUGGCGUGACCAACAUCCGGAGCGCACUACUUGUGUGGGGCUUCCAUCACAAGAUUUAACAGACCGUGAGCAUGAUCCAAUCCUCUAAGCUCGAGGAUACCCUGUCCUCUAGAGUCACAAUCAUCAUAUAGUCCAUAGGUGUCGCAUACACUAUUAACUAGAUUGUCCGUUUGUCCGCUAUCGACUAGAUGCCACUCGUUCAUAGUUUACUAUUAACUAGAUGCCACUCGUUCAUAGUUCAUCAUUUUCUCUACAUCAUAGGAUUCACAAUCUCGACCCAAUCCUUAUCAAUCCAAUAUAUCAAUUAUCCGAUGUACGCUACGAUACCAUGAAGGAAAAACAUAAGGAAAGGCAAUGCAUACUAAUCCUAUAAUGCAAUAAUACAAGAUGCAAGAUCAAAUAUACUAAGACAUAGGAGGGAGCCCGAUUGCUUCGGGAUGGACACCACCCACCUCUUGGCGAUGCCGUGAUAGUAGAAAACUCGACGUUGGGGUUCUUGUACGCCGCUUCAACUCCUCGGGGCGAAGCGAGCCCUCGAGUACCCGAUUCGGCGAUUUCUCCGCACCCGCUCGUCGGAUCGAGAAACCGACUUCGCCGACGCGUUCCGGGACCUAGCAAUUAGGUUUGCGACCUAUUAGAUUAGAUCAAAACCCUAGAUUUACCAAAAACCCAAUUCCGUGCCCUAGGAUGGCAACGGGGAAGAAAUCCGUGGUGCGAGCUUCAAUUGCGAGCUCGAACCUUCUCCCUAGUUCCAUUAGGUCCCAUUCAAACCAUAAAAACCCCAAAACCCUAGAAACACCAUUAAAGGGUUUAGAGCUUACCCCUACACAAGGUUCCUUCAAGCUUGAGGGAGAGGGAGAGAAGAAGAUAUCUUCUUCUUCUUCUUCUUCUUAGUCUUCUCUUUCUCUUUCUUCUUCUUUCUCUUCUUCUUCUCCUUCCUCUUCUUCUUCUCCUUCUUCUCUUUCUUUUCUUUUCUUUCUUAGAGAGAGAGAGAAAAGAGGGUAAGAGAGAGAGAGAAAGCAGCUGAGAGUGAGAGAGAGGGGUCCCCCACCUCUAAUAAAGGCCAUUUUGCAUAAAAGCCCCUCAACUUUCACCCUUGUGCACUGCCCUCACUGGGCAGUUUUCGCGCGGAGGGACCGGUCUCCCCGACUUGGGACCGGUCCCCGAAGGCUGCCAUUUCGAGCAGAGGGAUUUUCGCGUUCGGGAACCGGUCCUUGCCUGAGAGACCGGUCCCCGGGAGACCGGUCCUCGUCCGAGAGACCGGUUCCCGAGAGCUGCAUUCUCGGGACUUAGCCAAAUUUGGCUAAAUCUCGUCGGGCCAACGUUCGGGAACCGGUCCCUGCCCACCAGGGACCGGUCUCAUCAGAGACCUCCGCAACCCAGCCUGAUGGAACCGGUCCCUCCCUGCCAGGGACCGGUCCCCGAGAGCAAUUCUGCUCCAGUGCAAGUUUUGCACUUGGUGCUCUCGCGGGCCCUUCUUCAAUGCACUUUACGCAUUAUAAUCGCCUUCGGGCUUUCCGAAGCUUACGCACUCGACAACUAGUCGAUUCUAGUCGAAGUCUAACCCUCGAAUUUCGAGGAUUCACUUCCUUACAGAACAUAUUGCUCUCAUGAGGCAUUAACGACGGUGGACAACAAUGAAAAUCCAUCUUUCCAUUCUGUUGAAAAAUGGUGCAAG
rnacentral:lncRNA from 1 species